AUCGCUUCUCGGCCUUUUGGCUAAGAUCAAGUGUAGAUGUAAUUACUGGAGAUAUUUUCAGAAAUAAUAAUAAUAAUUACUUUUUAAGUAAUGGCGAUUCAAACCAUA
rnacentral:snRNA from 1 species